ensembl:snoRNA SNORD34 Small nucleolar RNA SNORD34
GGCGUCCGUGAUGUUGCCCAGUUCUACCUACAUUGUUUGAUCCCCGUGAGAACAGCCCUGACUGAGACGCCC